UGGCAACCCUUUUAAACUCAAAUUGCCGCCCAAACCACACGCAUACAACCUUACACCUUCCUUUUUCAUCCUUCCCGAUUCUCGGAAUUCAACACCCUUUACCGUUUCCAUCCUUUCAACAAAUCAUGAACCUUGUCAUCGUUCUACUACCACACACAGCCUAGCACCCCCUGUUGCUCGACUUAAUGGCCGGCCACCACCACUGUCUGGUGGCGGCGGCGAUGGCACCAUGAGGCAGAAAGAGGAGAGAAGAAAGCAGUCGAGAGAAAGAAAGAGGCGGGCCGGCGUCGAUUACGGGAGAGCCGCGGCGGCGGCAGACGGCAGCGCCGCCGUCUGCAGCGGUGGUGGGGUGUAGUUCGUUGCCCGACGUGUUUCACCGGAAUGAUGAUGGUAGUGGCGACUGCGGCUGCGUCGCCGCCGUCUGCGGUGGUGAGCAACAAGGAUCGUGCCGUCUCGUGUUCGGAUAAUCGCUCUUGUUUAUUCUCUUGGAUUGUUCCAAUCUUACUCGUGCGUACUUCCAAGAAAUCUUCAUACGCAACCAAAGUUGAUGAGGAUGAUGCUAAGAAAAGAAGUAGCGUUGAUGCCU